AAAGUCGUAACAAGGUUUCCGUAGGUGAACCUGCGGAAGGAUCAUUCAUAAUAAGUGUUUUUACUGCACUUUUUAAAAAAUAGUACUCACCCUUGUGUGCAAUGUUGUGUUCUUUUCGGAAAACACCUACACCAACCUAUAACCUUGAACCACUUUGUCUGAAAAACCUAUUAUGAAUACUAAUCAAAAUACAA
rnacentral:misc_RNA from 1 species